CCGAGUUUACAACUCCCAAACCCCUGUGAACAUACCUAUUGUUGCCUCGGCGGAUCAGCCCGGCCCCGGUAAAACGGGACGGCCCGCCAGAGGACCCCUAAACUCUGUUUUUAGUGUAACUUCUGAGUAAAACAAACAAAUAAAUCA
rnacentral:misc_RNA from 1 species